rnacentral:lncRNA from 1 species
AUGAAAAUUAUGAAAUGAAGAUGAAAAGAAAAGGAACAAUCAAAAUUCAGCAAUUCCUAUUUAUUUUUGACCAAAAAUGGCUAUUGUUGUGGUUCCGGUGUAACGGUAUUCGAAAUAUUACGGAAAUAAUAACCAAUAAGCUUGUGAAUCGCAAAAUAAAUUAAAUAUUGUACAAUGGUGAAGUGCGCAGUUGUUGCCUGCACCAACAAAACCCAAACAAAACUAGCGGGAAAUUCAUUUCACAAAUUUCCAAAAAAUCAUGAUUUUAGACAAAAAUGGCUAAACAGCAUUAGGCCUGAUUUCCAUCACGAUACAGCUGCAUAUAUUGUAGUGAUCAUUUUAAGAAGGAUCACAUUAAUUUUACAUUACGCCUUCUGCGCCUCAAAGACAAUGCCUGCCCAUCUAUCCCGAAUUUAUCACCUGAGCAACAAGUAAGACAACCCUCGCAAGAAGUGAAUCUUAAUCUGUUAUCAUCAUCAUAUAAGAUCAUCAUAUGAGUCAUGACAAUGCUGUUUCCCAAAAUGGAAUACAAGAUAUAAUGGUUGCAUCUACUUAUCAGUCAGUCAAUACACCAAACGUACAAAUAGUAACGGCUGUUUCAAUUAAGGACGUUUUGUCUCGUAUUGUCAAAAACAUAUUUAAAAACUAAAUUUUUCUUGUAAUAACGUCUCAAAAACAUAUGAAAAAAAAAUGUA